GAACGCUAGCGGCAGGCUUAACACAUGCAAGUCGAGGGGCAUCGCGGGUGGCAACACCCGGCGGCGACCGGCGAACGGGUGAGUAACGCGUGAGCAACAUGUCCUCAGUCGGGGGAUAAGCGAGGGAAACUUCGUCUAAUACCCCAUAACACUUUCAGGCGCAUGCCUUUAAGUUGAAAGCUUUUUUUUUGCGACUUUGGUUUGGCUCGCGUGACAUUAGCUAGUCGGUGGGGUAACGGCCCACCGAGGCUACGAUGUCUAGGGGUUCUGAGAGGAAGGCCCCCCACAUUGGGACUGGGACACGGCCCAAACUCCUACGGGAGGCAGCAGUGAGGAAUAUUGGUCAAUGGACGGAAGUCUGAACCAGCCAUGCCGCGUGAAGGAAGACUGCCCUAUGGGUUGUAAACUUCUUUUGCAGCAGAGCAAUAAGGCGUACGCGUACGCCGAUGAGAGUAUGUUGCGAAUAAGCAUCGGCUAACUCCGUGCCAGCAGCCGCGGUAAUACGGAGGAUGCGAGCGUUAUCCGGAUUUAUUGGGUUUAAAGGGUGCGUAGGCUGUUUUGUAAGUCAGCGGUGAAAGACCGGGGCCCAACUCCGGAAGUGCCGUUGAUACUGCAUUGCUAGAGUUCCCCUGCCGUGGGAGGAAUGAGUGGUGUAGCGGUGAAAUGCAUA
rnacentral:rRNA from 1 species